rnacentral:rRNA from 1 species
UAAUUGAAGAGUUUGAUCAUGGCUCAGAUUGAACGCUGGCGGCAGGCUUAACACAUGCAAGUCGAGCGGUAGCACAAGGGAGCUUGCUCCCUGGGUGACGAGCGGCGGACGGGUGAGUAA